rnacentral:rRNA from 1 species
AUUGAACGCUGGCGGCAGGCUUAACACAUGCAAGUCGAGCGGGGAAGGGUAGCUUGCUACCUGACCUAGCGGCGGACGGGUGAGUAAUGCUUAGGAAUCUGCCUAUUAGUGGGGGACAACAUUCCGAAAGGAAUGCUAAUACCGCAUACGUCCUACGGGAGAAAGCAGGGGAUCUUCGGACCUUGCGCUAAUAGAUGAGCCUAAGUCGGAUUAGCUAGUUGGUGGGGUAAAGGCCUACCAAGGCGACGAUCUGUAGCGGGUCUGAGAGGAUGAUACGCCACACUGGGACUGAGACACGGACCAGACUCCUACGGGAGGCAGCAGUGGGGAAGAUUGGACAAUGGGCGGAAGCCUGAUCCAGCCAUGCCGCGUGUGUGAAGAAGGCCUUAUGGUUGUAAAGCACUUUAAGCGAGGAGGAGGCUACUUUAGUUAAUACCUAGAGAUAGUGGACGUUACUCGCAGAAUAAGCACCGGCUAACUCUGUGCCAGCCGCCGCGGUAAUAC